rnacentral:lncRNA from 1 species
UAUCAUUUUUUUUUUCAUUAAAUAUACACUAGCAAUGAAAUUUGAAAUAUUUGUAAAAUCCAUUGGAGAUAAAAUUUGAAUUAGGCUGUUUAUUGUGAAAUAUUAAUUAUGAAUAAAUCAAAAGUCUUUCUAUGCAUUGAAGAUGUUCUAAAUAUAUGACUAAAUUUAUGGUUUCAUUUCGUAACGUGCGUUCUCUAAUAUGGCUUUGACUUAUCUUGGUCAAUUUGGAAAUAGAAGAAAAUAGAUACUUUCUUCAUGUGUUUCAAUAAUUGGAUAAUUUUUUUAAAUUGAUUUAAAGAAGUUUGGUUUACACGGAUUAUCGAGAAAGUUAUGAUUUUAAUUUUUAGAAUUCUUCGAUUUGUUGCCACUAAUUAAUCCACUGUGAUCCUUUGUUUUGGGUGAAUCUUGUGACUUGGCUCCGGUUACGGAUUACUAAAUCUUGAAUUUUGAGCCGUCAAAGUUCACAGUUGAUUGUUGUAAUAUUUUUUCUAUUUUUGGUCAUAUACAAUAGACAGUAAUACACAAGGCUUCAUAUUUUUGCUUUAUAUUUGGUUUAAAGCAUGCUUUGCCAAAUAAGCAAUGAAUUGAAGGCUUAAAUUUCUGAUUGCUGAAAUUUCAAAGGCACAAAACAUUUGAUAUUUAUUCUUGUAUUUUUCAUACCUUUAUGAAUACUUUAAGG